rnacentral:rRNA from 1 species
GACGAACGCUGGCGGCGUGCUUAACACAUGCAAGUCGAACGGAAAGGCCCUGCUUUUGUGGGGUGCUCGAGUGGCGAACGGGUGAGUAACACGUGAGUCACCUUCCCUUGACUUUGGGAUAACUUCAGGAAACUGGGGCUAAUACCGGAUAGGAGCUCCUGCUGCAUGGUGGGGGUUGGAAAGUUUCGGCGGUUGGGGAUGGACUCGCGGCUUAUCAGCUUGUUGGUGGGGUAGUGGCUUACCAAGGCUUUGACGGGUAGCCGGCCUGAGAGGGUGACCGGCCACAUUGGGACUGAGAUACGGCCCAGACUCCUACGGGAGGCAGAAGUGGGGAAUAUUGCACAAUGGGCGGAAGCCUGAUGCAGCAACGCCGCGUGCGGGAUGACGGCCUUCGGGUUGUAAACCGCUUUCGCCUGUGACGAAGCGUGAGUGACGGUAAUGGGUAAAGAAGCACCGGCUAACUACGUG